rnacentral:rRNA from 1 species
CUUUUGUAUCAGGGUUAAUUAAAAAAUUUUUAAUUAAUUAAAUAUCUCGAAAUUAAAAGAGUUAAAUAUAUAAAAUUUUUUUUGUUGAAUAAAAAUUAUGAAUAUAUAUUUAGAGAUUAUAUGUUAUUCAAUUUUAAUUAUAUCUAGUUUUUUUUGAAUUAAAUUUAAUUUAUAUAUUUUUAAAGAAUAAAAUUUUAUAAAAAAUUUUAUUUUAAAAAAUAUAAAUAAUUUAUGGGAUAAACUAUAAAUUAAUUGUAUAAUAUUAAAAUUUAUAAUUUAGAAAAUUAAUUUUAAAAUUUAAAAUAUUUAAAAAAUAUUUAAUAAUUUAUUAAUUAUUUAAAUAUAAAAAUUUUAUUAUAUAAAAUUUAAAAAAAAAAUAAUUUUAAUAAUAUUAAUUAUAUUAAAAUGAUUAAAUUAGUAAUUUAAUUUGUAUAAAUAAUUUUAUGAAAAAAUAUAUUUUUAAGUAAUUAGGCAAAAUAAUUAUAUUCACCUGUUUAACAAAAACAUGUCUUUUUGAUUAUAAUUUAAAGUCAGUUCUGCUCAAUGAAAAAUUAAAUAGCUGCAGUAUUUUGACUGUACAAAGGUAGCAUAAUCAUUUGUCUUUUAAUUGAAGGCUAGAAUGAAUGAAUUAAUGAAAUAUAAACUGUCUCAAUUUUAUAAAAUAAAUUUAAAUUUUAAGUUAAAAUGCUUAAAUUUAUUUAAGGGACGAUAAGACCCUAUAGAAUUUUAUAUAUGAAUAAUUUAUUUAAAUUAUAUAAAUAUAUUUAGUUGGGAGGAUUUUUAAAUUUAAUUAACUUUAAAAUUUUAAAAUAUUGAUUAAUAGAAUUAAAUGAAAUAUUUUUAAUAAUAUUAAAAUAAAUUACCUUAGGGAUAACAGCGUAAUAUUUUUGGAAAGAUCAAAUUGAAAAAAUUGUUUGCGACCUCGAUGUUGAAUUAAAAUGAAUUAUAAAUGUAGAAGUUUAUAAAUUUAGUCUGUUCGACUAUUAAAAUUUUACAUGAUUUGAGUUCAGAUCGACGUGAGUCAGAUUGGUUUUUAUCUUUAAAAAAAUUUAAAAUUUUUGUACGAAAGGACUAAGUUUUAAAAAUAAUUUUUAAAAUAAAAUAAUAAAUAAU